rnacentral:rRNA from 1 species
CCUGGCCUCCUCGAGGAUCUUCUGACAUACGUUGGAGACGUGUCAGUCGACGGUGCUACACCGGAGCCGGCCAGGAUCCUCUCCACCAAGGACAAGGAAGGGAAGGAAUCCACUGAGCCAAAUCCUCUCCAUCCCAUCUGGGUGCGUGAGGAUCAGCAGGUGCUUGGAUACCUGCUGAACAACCUCACCAUUGUGCAGGUGACCGCGAUCACCACGUCGCACGAGCUCUGGGCGGCACUAUCAGGCAUGUUCUCCUCGCAGUCUCUCAGCCGCGUCAACAACAUCAGAACCUCCCUGGUGAACACCCAGAAGGGCAACAAGACCGUCACCACCUACUUCGCCGAGAUGCGUGGCUUCGCCGACGAACUCGCCGCCGCUGGGAAGCCGCUCCAGGAUGAUGAGCUCGUCUCCUACAUCCUCCAUGGCCUCGACAUGGACUAUCAACCCCUCGUCACUGCCCUUGACAUGUGCAUCACUCCAGUAUCCCUUGAUGAACUCUUCUCCAUGUUAAGCAAUUUCGAUCAAAGGGUUGCGCAG